GGAGAACUAAAUGGCAGAAGGUCUUCAGAGAAGAAACCCUUGCCAUCAUACAAAUCAUUUGGCCUUUAACCUUUUAGAAUUUAAGCCAGCCAUAUCCAGUCCAAAUAUUUCUGUUUUAUGUUGAAACUGGCCAGAUCCAGCCUCUCACAUCAGCCCUGUAAUGUCUUCCUAAAAAUAAGCAGUCACAUCUUCGAAAUCUCAAAGCUAUGGCAUAAUACAAGAUUAAUUUUAUAAAAUGUAAAUAAACAAGUAUUAUAUUUGAUCAAGUAAUCUGAAUGUUAAUGGGUUAAUCCCUUAAAAUUUAAAGGGGCUCAGGUGACAUCUAGAUCAAGAUUCCUGCAGAACUUUCUGCUGCCACAUUUGUGUUACCGUUUGUGUUUUAAUCUGUACCGUCCUGGGUGGUUAAGGUGUGGGAGGGCCAUGUUACUUUGAAUGUCAUAACCACUUUGAUCUGAGACACCAGUUGAAUAAAGAGUUGAUUAUCUCUUCAACUCAUAAAUUAAAUUAUUAAAUGGGGAAUGAUAGUGGGACCUCUUUUACCUUAUAGCCAAAGUUUCACACCAUUUUCUACCUUAACCUAAUCUUAAAUUAAAUACAAAACAAAUUGACAUUGAUUUACCACCAAAUUCCCAAAUUUUUCAAUGAGAAUUUCCAAGAAGGAAUUCUUCCUAAAAGCAUGACAAACAACAACUGAGGAUGGCAGAAUUAUAAGAGCAUCAGAAAAAUGACUAAUUUUUCCUAACUUUUUACAUUCUGAGAUCAAAUCUGCCCGGGUCAACUUUGUCAAUCAUCUCUCUGGGGCCGGUAAAACUGACUGGAAUAAAUUGUACUGACUAAUAUUUCUCCUCAAACACUGCCGGCUUUGUGCCUAAAUUAGAAACAAUUAUUACAUUCUGAAACUAUUGAAAUUUUUGGUUGAUACAUACAGUAUAAUCUCAGUUUAUUUUACACAUAAAUUAACAUAUAUUAGACUCUACACACUUUCAAUGCAAAGAGAUGAUAAACACACUAUGUUUAUGGAUAACAACAUAAGCAAAAAGAAAAAAAGCGUAUAGAAUCAUUUCCACAUGUCAAACACUAUAUACAUAGAUGACUAUUAAAUAUAAGCAUAGAAUAGAGAGAAUAGAAAGAAUAGACAUGAGUUAUAUGAUGAAAGACAAUUUAAUACCCUUCAGGAAAGUUCAUAGAUCAGCACUCAUGAGGUAUAUCAUAAACUUACUGGUUGGAGCAGCUCAACCCAUUCUGGGCAAAUGUUACCACAAGUAAGAGUAAGUACACAAAAGUCUCUUUGACAACACUUGUCUAGGAAAAAGAAUGGUAAAUCAGAGUAGAGAGUCUGAGAAGAAAGACAAUAAAGCAUCACAAGAUGAAAUCAGUCCUAUAUUCAAAUUUGGAGAAAACACCACUGAAAAACAAAGAAUGAGAUGCAUUUGAAAUGGACCUUCGUAACUUAGUAAAAGAAAAAUAGGACCUAGCUAUCACAUGUAAAUUAACAUGGCUUGUUAGCAUGUUCCAUACUUUUGCCAAUUGUCUGAGAUGCUUCCAUUGUUGUGAGCACACAGAGGAACUUGCUUGAUCGUCUUAUCAAUGACCCUGUGGUACACAAAUAAGGUAAGAGCUGGAGGGAAAGAAGGCUGCUCCAGCAUUCUUCUCACAAUAUUUUCAGUUGAAAAGACAAGAAAGGAAGUAUGUUGGUCAAGGUUGCAAUGCACUGCAUGACCCCAGAUUUGAACUCAUGCUUCUAGGAUUAUGAGUCCAACACCCUAACCACUAUCCACAUAUUUUUUUCACAUAGCUAAGAAUGUAGAAUAUUAAUAAUAGAAAGAUUUCCUUGAUGAGCUAAGCUUGAAGUUAAUAACAAUAAAAUCCACCAGAAGUCUAUUCGUACUUGCAGACAAAACAAGGAAUUGAUAUAAGGUAAGCAGAGACACAACAACCUUUUGCACAAAAGCAGAACAAAAUCCAAUAAAACAAGCAGCGUCAACACAGAAAAUGAAAUCAACACAGAAGUGCAAGUGAUAACUACAAAACAUAACAUCUAAGACAACCUUAGAAGUGGUAGUUUUGUGUAUUAUGGCUUGUUUCAAGAAUUAUAGAAAAAGAGAAAAAAAGAAAGAAGGGAGGAUCAAAUAUAGACUAUUGGUAAUUAACGAUAUUAAUAACAACAAAAACAAUAAUACCAACUACAAUUCUUGAAUUAGUAUUACUACCAAUAAUAAUAAUAAUGAUGAUGAUGAUGAUGGUGGUGAUGAGGUUAGGAAUGAUUAUAAAGCAGGAUUACUUUAUAAACUUGACAAACUUAAAUGCUACUCCAUAAAAAAAUACAGCCUUCAUCAAACCGAAGGAUAUAAAAAUAAAACUUUGAAGUCUCACAGAACUGUAGACUCAUUAAUCUAAGCAAAAGUGAUUUUGGUAAAACAAUCUUAGAUUAAUCACUGACAAUGUAAUCUGUGAAUAUGAAUCAGUGGAACAGCAUUGCAUCAAUCAUCACAUGUUUCAAAAGGGUCAAGAACCAAAAAAAAAAAAAAUCUAAUUUGAUAUUGUUGAUUAUUAUCCUUCCAUAAUCCAAAAAAACUUCUUCCAAAUGCCAUGAAUUUCGUCAGAAGAUGCUGUAAUAUCACAGAAAGCAAAUUGAAUGUCAUUAUACAUGUUUGACAGAUCUCAUACUUCCUAACGAAGACGCUUGUUGGGUUUAGAAUGACAGAACAGCUAAUUUUGAUGUUGCCAUGGGGAGCUUUGAGAUCAAAGUGUGCAUGCUGGAAAGCUUGUUUCUGUUCUAUGAAAUAGAAAGCAUUUCUGAUGGCUUUAGCACAGGUGUGUGCAGAGAUGACUGGCUCGUAAUUUUCAACACAGAAGGCAGCCACACUUUUGAACCAGUAAAUACAACUUUAAAAAUUCUGUUUGAGUCCUUUAAGAAACCAAACAGGCCUAGUUGCUUAGCCAUACAUAACCCAGUACCAUCCAGAUAUAUUAAUAAUGUUUGAAUGGUUCAUCAGCAAGAAGAUAAGUUCAUUAUUCUGUCAUGAAGCUGUUAGAGUUCAACAGUGAACCACUAUCAUGUAGCUGAUACCCAGAAAGAACAAGUACUCAUGAGCGCCAUCAAAUAACCACAAUAAAGACUAAGAAAAGAAAUAUUACUUGGUACAGUUUGUCUAAUAUAAAGUAUAGUAAGAUGAGCUACAGUUGUAUGAAAAAAUAACUGAUGGCAUUCACAAUUACAAAGCAAAAUACUAAAUGACCAAAGGUAGAGCUGGCAUGUUAUUGCAGAAACAGAGAAUUCUACAUCCCAAAAGGUAUACAUUUACUCUAAAUAUUGUAUACAAGGCUGAUGACUCCACAUUAACAAGCUAUAUCAAGUUCGCCAGCUACACAGCUACAUUGACUUAACUUCUUCAAAUGUUGCCUGCAUCAGAGCAAUCGGUCGUUCAAUCAGUACCACUUGGAGAGUACCACAGCAUUUUCAAAGCACAUUUGGAAAUUGAGAAACACAAGAGGCAUUUCCAACAUCUUAUAAUCAGUGUUAGAUAAGACACAGGAAUUUAAAAAUAGAUCAUAAUCCUGACUUCUGUCUCUAAAACAAAUACCAUCCUACCACACUCUUAAAUUAACAGAAUGAACUAAUCUCAUUCUGCCAACACAUGUUAAAAUUCUUUAUGGAUAAUUUCAAAGAAGGCACUCCUGAUUUAUGACAGUUUACAACCAACAAUGUACACUGCCGAUAAUCAGCUGAUUAAUUUCAAAUCUGCAGUUACAUAAUAGCUGACCAACUGAACAAAACUACAGUUUGAGUUAUGUAAUUACAGUUUAUUUCACAUAGAUAACAUACACCUAAUUUAUGUGUAUAUAAAUGUGUGUACAGAUAUAAUAAACACGUACUACACAUAUAUAUACCCACAAUAUCUAUCUAUCUGUCUAUCCAUCUCUCUCUCUCUAUGUGUAUAUAUAUGUAUAUAUAUAUAUAUGUAAGUAUAUAUAUAUAUAUAUAUAUAUAUAUAUAUAUAUUACAUAUAUUUUUCCUACACACAUGUAUGCACACGUAAUAAUGACAACAAUAACAACAACAACAACAACAGCAAUAAUAAUAAUAAUAACCAUAGAUAUGGUAAUGAUAAUGAUAAAAGAGUUUUCCUUCACAUUCGUGUGUACACACAUAUAUAUUUGUGUAUAUAUAUUAUAUAUAUAUAUAUCUACAUACAUGCAUAUAGGUAUAUAUGUGUGCACAAACACACACACAUACACACAUACAAACAAACACACACCCACACAAACAUACUCACACACAUAUAUAUCAUAUACACACAUACACACAAUGACAAGCCAUGUUCACUCAGCAUUAAAUAAGUUCAGCUCAUUUAAUGCAGAAUGAACAUAGCUUAAAAUGAGGAAAAUUUAAUGCUUCCUCAAAUGUUCUCCAUAAAUUGUAUUCAAUAUAAAUAUAUUUGUAUACAUAAAUUUAUGCAUAUAUACAUUCCCUAAUCUCGUUUUUAACAGAAACCACUUCUGAAUGUCAACUCCCCUCCUAUUAGAGCUAUUGAUUUUGACAGAAAUAACUUUACAAAUGGAAACUGAUUGAUUUUCUGCUCCAAUCCUGCCUCUUUAACACACCAUUCCUUACUUUUAUUAAAACUGAUAAAUAGAUUUGGCUAUCUUAUUUCAAAUGAGAAAUUAUAUAUUAGAUCUUGCCCACACACACACACACACACAUACAUAUAUAUAUAUAUAUAUAUAUAUAUAUAUACAUAUAUAUAUAUAUACAUACAUAUAUAUAUAUAUACAUACAUAUAUAUAUAUGUGUGUAUAUAUAUAUAUAUACAUAUAUAUAUAUAUGUAUAUAUAUAUAUGUAUAUAUGUAUGUAUAUAAGUAUAUGUAUAUAUAUAUAUAUAUAUAUAUACACAUAUACAUAUACUUAUAUACAUACAUAUAUACAUAUAUAUAUACAUAUAUGUAUGUAUUUAUGUGUGUGCGUGUGUAUCCAACCCAUCCAGUAUGGAAAGUGGACAUUAGAUGAUGAUGAUGAUAAUAUAUAUUUAUACACUAAUAUCAAACAGUGAGAAUGAGUGUUGAACACCACAUUGGUGGGUAAAUAUUCUUUAUUUGUGAGUUAACAAGGAUAUACCCCGCCACAUACACAUGCAUGUGUGUGCGUGUGAUACUGGGUUUGUGUAUGUAUAUGUGUAUGAGCAUAUGUGUUUGCUUGUGUGUGUGUGUGUGUGUGUGACAGAAGGAAUAAGUGUGAUCUUUUGUGAUUCCACAUACAUAAGCAUACCAAUGUUCUUGUGAAUUGAGCCCGGUUAGUUGGAGUCAACCUCUCUCUCUCUAUCAGUCAGUUUGUCUUCAUCUCUCUUUGUAAGUGUUUAUCUAUUUAUGGCAAUUCAUAUGUAGUCACACAGUCUGAAAAUGUAUGUAGAAUAUCUGAUUUUGAUCACAUUACUAUGUACUUCGAACAUACUCCACCACACAUUCUUUUCCCGUACCCUUUUGUAAUUAAAUAUGCAGAACUAAAUUUGAACUUAUGAUCUUAAAUUGUAUUCUGAAAUUAAGUAAAAGACAGUUGAUACUCUGCAAGUUCCACAAGUGCAUUGUUAGAAAUGGUAAUAAUAGAGUGAAGGAAUGCACUAGAACUUUUGAAAAUGGAAAAAUAACAAAAACAAUACUAAAACACAAUGAAAAGCAACUGACUAAAAUUAGAAAAUUAAUCGAAUUUUAUUUCGUCGUUCAAAAACUUACUUUCUGUCAUUUUUUUUAACAGAUUGGAUAGGUAUGCAAAUUUUGUCAUUAUCAUUGAUUUUAGGUGAAAUGUAUUUAUAACUACUUUGUCUCAUUCAAAAUAUUUUAUUGUUAAUUGAGACUGACUACUAUUUUCUGUCAAGAGAUUGCGAAAUAGCUAAGAAGUCUGUGUUCAUAAACAAUAAUUCUGACAGUUCAAUCUUUCUUCUUGGAAGUCUGUUACUGAGAGACUUAUUGAAGGUUUACGUAUGCUCUCACUUUACAGAUAGGUAGUGCAUAUGAUAAAAACGGUACCCAAUAGCAAUUUGAAAAUUUGUAAAUGUUCAUAUCUGCAAAGCCUAUUAAAUUCCUUUCAACAUCGAUAAGAAGAGGAUGCCAAAUAGAAAACCAUGCAGAUUUGUAGUAUUUCUUCACUAUUAUUUAUGAUACCUCUAAGGCGGCAAACUGGCAGAAACAUUAGCACGCCAGAUGAAAUACUUAGUGGUAUUUUUUCUGUCUUUACAUUCUGAAUUCAAAUUCUGCUGAGAUUGACUUUGCCUUUCAUCCUUUCAAGGUCGAUAAAUUAAUUCUCAGUUGUGUACUGGUGUCAAUCUAAUCGACUGGCCCCUUCCCCAAAAUUUUGGGCCUUGUUCCUAGAGUAGAAAAGAUUAUUUAUGAUACCUCUUUAAAGAUCAUCAUUUCUUCAUUGCCAAACAAUUUAAUUUUUUCUCUUAGAAAUGACUAUUGAAAAAUGGUAUCAGUGAUAUAUUGGAGUUAUUUUAUUCAAAUACAAACAGUUUUGGCAUAGUUAGAAGAAAUUAUAGCUAAAAUAAAUUGAUAGAGUGUCAAAAAAUGGUAGAGUGCCAGAAAUGAUACCAUUAAACAAAGAAAUUAUUUUAAUGUCUAUUCAAGCAUUUAUUUUGCUUUAUGCAGAGCCUACUUGUUUUAUUGAUGCUAACAAGAGAUUGCUUUAAUUUAUGGGUUUUUUCAUCUCUUGCUGGCUACCCUUCACCGUUAGGCAGGUUCUAAAGGACGUAUUUUCGGCUGUGGGGAAAAAGGUCAUACAGAGUGAGAUUUGAACUCAGGAUACAAUGAUUCAGGAUAGCCACUACUGUAAUGCAUCCCAUCCAUUUGUCUAACAAAUCUGCAAAAACUAGCCUACUAGAUUGGUACUUUAUUUAUUGACCCUGAAAGAACAAAAGAAAAAAGCUGAUCCCAGCAGGGUUUAAACUCAGAGUGCAAAGCUGUGCACCCUGUCACAGUUAACUUUACAUUUCAUGCAACUAGAAUCAAUAAAAUGAGAACUAGUCAAAACCUCAGAAUGCGUCAGUCAACCAUAUUCAACGUAUCUGGUUUUGUACAGAGUCAACCAUAUUUGCCUAUUCACAAAGUGAGACAGAAAAACUUUCCAUUUGCAGCAGCAGCAGCAGCAGUAGCAGUAGCAGCAGCAGCAGCAGCAGCAGUAGUAGUAGUAGUAGUAGUAGUAGUAGUAGUAGUAGUAGUAGUUGUAGUAGUAGUAGUAGUAGUAGAGGCAGCAACAGCAUGUUUCUAAGUGUUGUUGUGCCCCCCAAUAAUCUUUUCUACUCAAGGCACAAGGCCCGAAAUUUCGGGGGAGGGGGAACAGUCGAUUAGAUCUACCCCAGUACAAACUGGUACUUAAUUUAUCAGUCCUGAAAGGAUGAAAGGCAAAGUCGACCUCGGUGGAAUUUGAACUCAGAACCAUUGUGCCCCCAAUAAUGCAACAAAGACAGUAAUGUAGCAUCAAUUGGUUGUGAGAGGCUGUGUGAUGCAGCCGACUGUUGCCAGCUGAAACAAAUGAAGUGUGGGAGGUUUUUGCCUCAUCCUGUAUUUUGUGAUGCUAUACAAAUAAAUGAGAUUCAUGCCUCAUUCUUAUAAACAUUUAUUAAAAGUUGAUCACCGAAAUUAAUGCAGCAGGCUUAAUUCUUCACGUUCCAGACAUUUUUAUGUCAUUUAAUGACAUCAGCAUUCAAUAUCAUGUUUUUAUGUCACCUUUAUAUCCCAAUCUAGAUUGGAAAGAUCAUCGCAGAUAGAAUCAGUUUUUAUUCAAAGCAACUGGCCUCCAAGAUAGAUUGGAGACCAUAUCUUACUGUACAUUCCAUUUUGGGAAACGUUUUCAAGAGCUGGGCAUCCUCCCUGUCAGCAACCACUUUAGUGUAUAUAAUUCUAUUUGUUUAUGUACAUUGUGUGAUAUACAUUAAAGAGAAGGGUAUUAUAUGAUCAUAUCAGUUAAACCAAUAUCAAUUUAUAUUCGGUGACCAAAGUUCUAAAGGUGGCUGACAACAGAAUAAUUAUGAAAGAUUAUUAAUUUCUUAUAUGUUCAGAUACCUCAGAUUUCUAAGAGUGGAAAUUAGAUAUUGUGGUGCUUAUAUCAUCUCUAAGGGCUUUAUGACCAAAAGGUAAUUAAAUAUUAGUGAGAUGCACAUAGAUAUAAUGCGAAUGACCACAGGAUAUCUAUCAAUGUGCAUUAUAUAUGAAGAUAUUUGUAAUGAGAUUAAAACAUAUUUCAGUGCAUCACUUGAGUUCAGUAUGGACUCCAGGAAAAGAAGGUAUAUACGAGGGACUGCUGAAAAGUUCCUGACUUUAAAAGUAUUGCAAAAGGCCUGGUUAAUGGUUCAACCUUCCAAGUUCUUCUAUGGGGCUUAGUAAAAUUGAUGGACUGCUGCAAUAAGUUUGUGAAUAUGAGAGGGGAAUAUGUUGAAUAAAAUCAUAAUUAACUGAUCCUUCUCUAUUUUUUCUUUACCAAAAGCCAUGAAGUUUUCAACACCCCUGCGUAUAUGAUUAAUAGAAACCCCAUUACUCAGUUACAUAGGACUUUAAAAGCUCCAAGUGUGGUAAUUUUUUUUUAUUUUCAAUACUAGAUAUAUAUAUCAUGUGGCAUUACAUUAUUGGUCUGUGGGAGUUCAGUUAUUUUUCGAUAGGUACAGACUGUAAAAUGCAUUGACUGCUUUCGUAACGUCCUGUUCACUGGGAUUUUAAGUAACUUGUUCACUCAGAAAAUAGAAGUGAAUUGAUGAGGAAAAAAAAGAAACAAAAAGUUACUGCUUAAAUUUGAUAAAGGGCUUUGAGUGUAGAAAAAAAAUUAUUCAUUCUUUAUAAUAAAUUGAAAGAGGAAGAUUUAUUAUGAUAUUUACAUUAUCUUCUUAAAAAUAUCUUUGGCACAUUCAAUAAUGUUGCUAAUGGUUGAUACGGAAAAGUCAUUUCAUUAAAGAAAAAGAAAACCUACUUUAAAUGGAAUUGAUAAAUGUAUUUUUCUGAUGAAUUAUGUUCGCUGUAGAUAAUGGAAAGGAACUUCUCAUCACCAUUUUUAACCAAUUUCCUUCUCGCCCUCAAAUUCCCCUUCUUUCCUGCAAUAUAUUGAUAGAGUGUCUGUCGUCUUAGGUUUUAUAACAUCGAAAUAAAUUAUACCCAUUGCUUGCUGUUUACCCUUCAAAAUUGCAUCUGGAACAUUCUUAUUCCAUUCUUCAAGCAUUAUUUACUAAGCACUUAUUUUUCCAAUUUCUACUUAUUCCCAUAUGUAUUUCUGUGUGUGUAUGUGUGUGUGUGUGUGUGUGUGUUUGUGUGAUGUGAUUGUGUGUCUGAGUGUUUAUAAUGCUGGUUGUGAGUCAAAAAGUAUUACUUAGCCUUUUGGUGAAUAAAGAACUCUAAAUAUAUACCAGACUGAAAUAAAUGAUGGAGUUCAUAGAAUAGACUAAAACCUUUGAAAGCAGUGCCCCAGCAUGGCCAAAGUCUAAUAGAAACCAAUAAAAGAGAAUAUAUAUGUAUGUGGAUAUAUAUAUAUAUGUGUGUGCCUGAAUUGUAAGUUUGUAAUGGGUAAAAACCUAGAAUAUUCCUUAUUUAGUAUUCAAUACAAACUCUUGCCUGUUUAUCCUUUAAGACAAGCACUCAAAUUUAAACAAGUCCGCUGGUGCAGGAACUCCAAGUACUAUGCACACACACAUAUAUGUAUAUUAUAUAUGUAUAUAUGUGUGUAUGUAUGUGUAUGUAUCAGCUUUUCUAUUUUUGGCAUCUGACAUCAUCAUUUUCAAAUCCACUUUUCUAUGCUUUCAUGGAUGAUAUGGAAUUCAUUUUGGCAGAUUUUCUACGGCUGGAUGUCCUCCCUGUUGCCAACCUUCACCAGUUCUAUGCAAGGCAAUCUUUCCCUAUGUUUCUCAUGGAAGAUCAAAAACAAGCAACAUCACUUGGAUAAUGGUGAUGUUCAUUUACAAAUAUUACAUCAUAUCGAGACUAACAGACAAAAGCACACACAGAGGCACACACACACACACACACACACACACAAACACAGCAGUUUUUCCUUCUUUCAGUUUCUACCAACUAAAUUCCCUCAGGGCUAUCGUAAAAGACCCUUACUGAUAAUGCUGUGUAAUGGGACAACCUAAAACCAUGUGACUGGGAAGCAAAUUUCACAACCACACUGCUGUGUGUGUGUGUGUGUGUGUGUGCGCGCGUGUGUGUGUGUGUGCGUGUGUGUGUGUGCGUGUGUGUGUGUGCGUGUGUCUCCACGUGCACGCAUGCAUUUUAUGCACAUGUGUUUGAGUGUGUGUACAUGGUUCAAUAUAGAUUUCUUUGCACAUUAUUCUGUUGAAUUCAUGGAGUUUAAUAUAAUUUUAAUAACAAAGUAUUUUAACAACAUAAAUGCAUAACUCACUUUAGAGUAUUUAUUCAAGAAAUAUUUUACAGAGGAGUUUGAUCUGCUAAAAUAGAAAAUAUUUAAAUUCCAUCAUUUGUAGUUUACAGUAUUCUAUUAUAUGUUUUACAAGAAUUGGAGAGAUGCUGGUUUUAGCACAAUCAGACUGAAUAGUGAGAUUUACUUUACUCAUAAUUUCUUCAUGGGCUGGCUUGGAAUUUAAAAAAAAAUGCAGCAUGUUUUGCAGAAGGAAUAGUUUGAAAUAUUUUGAGAGUUGCCAUCAUGUGAUAACAGAAACAAAAUUAUGAAGAACAUAUUUGCAAGGAUUCUGUAGAAUAUUAACAAUAGCAUAACACACUGAGUUAUCCACAUUAAUAUAAUUUUAAUCCAAUUUCAUUAUUUGGAAGUUUUAUGUCAUGCAAUAGCAGAGUUGUAUGAAUAAAUGUAUGGUUUAGAUGUUUCCUUUGAAGACUGUCAGUAUAUUUUCAGAUCUAUAUAUAUUCUAACUAUUAUAAUAGCAACAAAUUAGAAAUGAAUAUUUUUGUUUGCUAUUUUAUAUCAAUUCGAAAUUUCCUCACCGGAAUUGGAUAGGCAGAUAUUGCAAAUGAAACCAUUUGUACAAAGUUAUUUCAUAGCUAAAUUCUAUUAUAAAAUUGGAAUAACUUUAAACAGUACGCCACUACUUCUCAUGCUAUCCAUUUGUGGAUUUUGUUGAUCAUCAAAUCAAUUUUUAUUUAAACUUAUUAAACCAUCUAGCAUUCCAUGUUUUUAUUAUAUUAUUCAUUAAUAAACCUUCUUUGAUCCUAACUUUUAAAAAAAGUUUUAACUGCUAUUUUUAGCUAGUAUUUAAGCCAUUUCAUCUAAAUUCAUUUUCAAUGAAAUAACUUUGAAAUGUUCAAGAAUGGAAUUUAAAGCCACAGACAAUUUUGUUUAAUAUGCUUUAAGUAUGAAUCCUUCUAUUUCUCUUGUUCUGUAUAAAUUCUUUUCAAUAAACCAUAAAGUGAGGUUAAGAUUAAUUAAUUAAAUAAUUAAGAUUAAUUGGUAAUUAGAUUGAUUUACUAAUUUUCCAUGAAGAAAUUUCAUUAGCAGCUUCUUACAAAUAUUCUCUCGUAUAUUCUUUCAGCUCUCUGCUAGUUCUAUCAGUCACUCCCCACCAAUAAGAAUCCUCACAACUUGACCAAAUACGAUUUAUUGAUGGUGUACCCCACAGUUAUAUCACAAUCGACUUGAUGCUAAUUAAUAUAUGUAUUAGGACUUCUGUUCAUAAUGAGGUUAGGAAUUUUUAAAUUUAGAAAUAAAAUUGAUUUACUAUAUUGGCCUAAAGCUUCAAAUAUAUUUGAGGGCAGAGAGAAAUGUGAUUAGACGAUGUUCAUGCUGACAUUGUGGACUUGUCAUUCUGUCUCUUCAUUUUUGCUAGAUCUGUAUCAAAAGGGGGGAAUUGACAGAAUCCUUACAGUAUUGCUCAAAAAAGCUGUAUUUCUUCAAGCUGUUUACACCCUAAGUUCAAAUCCUACUGAAGCAUAUUUUCUCUUUCAUCUUUUGAUGGAUGAUAAAAUAAAGUGCAAGUUCAGGACCAUGUAAUAGCAAAAUGGUUAGAACUAGGGAAGAAAUGGUUUUCUGUAUUGGUUCUGUCUUUACAUUUUGAGCUCAUAUGAGACAACACUGGAGUCUAGUUAAUUCACUCCUGGCCUUUCUCUUGGACAAGGGCCUUCGUCAUACAAAGGCAGAUGCCAGGUGCAAAUAGUCAUUGACCAUUAGCAGAAAAAGGCCAUAGACCAGAGUUUAAAUCAAACAUUAUUGUCAUUUUAUUUCAAAUUGAUUUCAAAUUUUGACACAAGGCCAGCAGUUUGGAGGGAGAGGGGUAAGUCGAUUACAUUGAUCCCCAGUGCAUAACUGGUACUUAUCUUAUCAAGCCUGAAAGGAUGAAAGGCAAAGUCGACCUUAGUGGAAUUUGAACUCAGAACGUAAAGAUGGACAAAAUGCCACAAAGCAUUUUGCCACACAUGCUAACGGUUCUGCCAGGUAACCACCUUAUUUCAUUUCAUAAUAUUGAAAAAAUUUUAAGGGCUGGGGAUUAGCCGAAUCGUUGAUAUAGGGAACAAAAUGCCUUGCAGUAUUUAGUAUUGCUCUUCCAUUCUCUACAUUUUGACCCCAUCAAGGUCAUCGUUGAUUUUCACCCACCUGGGGUAAAAAAAAUCAAGUACCAGACAAGCAUUGGUCUAAAUAUAAUCUGUCAUACCCCUCCCCCAAAAUUUUUGUCACCAGGUGCAGGAGUGGCUGUGUGGUAAGUAGUUUGCUUACCAACCAUAUGGUUCCGGGUUCACUCCCACUGCAUGGCACCCUGGGCAAGUGUCUUCUACUAUAGCCUCGGGCCGACCAAAGCCUUGUGAGUAGAUUUGGUAGACGGAAACUAAAAGAAGCCCGUCGUAUAUAUAUAUAUAUGCAUAUAUAUGUGUUUGUGUGUCUGUGUUUGUCACCCCCAACAUCGCUUGACAACCAAUGCUGGUGUGUUUACAUCCCCAUAACUUAACAGUUCAGCAAAAGAGACUUAUAGAAUAAGUACUAGGCUUACAAAGAAUAAGUCCUGGGGUCGAUUUGCUUGACUAAAGGUGGUGCUCCAGCAUGGCCACAGUCAAAUGACUGAAACAAGUAAAAGAGUAAAAGAGUAUGCUUAUGUUAAAAUUAAUAUUCAAAAUGUUUCAUCUGAUUUUUUUUACUGAAAUAUUUUUAAUACAAUUUUUAUAAAAGAAUAUUUUCUCUAACCAUCAUCUAAUUUUUUUUAAUGCAAAAAUAUAUUUUUUGAAUUUGAUUAAGUUAGAAAUAUAUCUGCACUUAGUUUUGUUUAUUUAUAUAUUUUUCACUUCAUAACUACUCAAAAUCCAUUUCUCUGAUCAGAGUGUCAGCUAUUAUAUGAUAUAAAUAUCUUUCUUAGAGUUACGCCAACCUUAAAUUGGUGAGGUCACAUUGGUAAAAGGUUUUUCAUUGACAUAAUUCUUGCUAGCAAAACAUUUUAGAUCUACAUUUCUGACAUAUAUAAAACGUAUGUCGUAGAAUGUUUGAUUCAAUAAUCACAACCUAUAAUGAUGACAUUUGUCUGACAAUGGUCUUUAUAAUUUACUGUUAUUUGUACUUCACAAAGUUGUUUCUUAUAUCAUCUACACUCAACUGACACAAACUAAUUCUUGCUUCUCAAAAGAAAUUUUAAUUAUCUUCAUUCAGGGAAAGAACAUACUUAUUUUUGUGGUUGUCAUAAAGUAACAAUACUUCUGAGAAACUUAUAUCUCUGUUGCCUGAUUCAAUAAAAGCACUGGGCCAUUACCUAUCUGUAGCAGAGUUUACUCUGUUGCAAGCAUUCAAGCCACUCUUCCUCUUUCCCCCUUUCCCACCAGUCUUGGAGGCCCAGAAAAUAGUCAAGGGCAAUGGCAUUCCAUCACUGACUGAGUCAUUACAAACAAUUGUAAAUUUUAGUAUUUCCUUAUAUUGCUAAUCCUUUGCAUAAACCCAAAGUUAAUCUUAAGAAAUUUAAAAUUUAGACUGGUGUCUUAGAGUGGCUAAGAAGUUUUCUUCCCAUCCACAUCAUUGCAAGUUCAAUCCUACAGUGUAGCAUCUUGGGUAAGAAUCUGUUACUGUAGCUUCAAAUCCACCAAACCCUUGUGAAUGGAUUUGGUUUACAGAAACUGAAAGAAGCCCAUGAUAUAUAUAUUCUUUUAUCCUUUUAUGCGUUUCACCCCUAAGACUGUGACCAUGCUGGAGCACUGCCAACAUAUGCGUAUGUGUGCAUGUUUGUGCCUCAUUGUUUUGGCAUUGUGGGAUAGUUGUUAAUGAGUGUCACUGUCAAACAAGCUGUAUUGUUCACUUCUAAUAUUCUGUAGAAUCAUGCCCAGGAAAGUAUUAUUUUGUUUGGAAACUGGUGAAGGUUGGUGACAAGAAAAUUGACCUCCAUAAAUUCCAUCUCACCCAGGCAAACAUGGAAAAGUGAACAUUAAAACGAUGGUGAUGAUGAUAGCUCUGCAUGUUACCCAGUGUUUGUGAAAUUUCAACUCACAAUUUAUAUUACUAUAAGAGCACUCCAUCAGUUACGAUGAUGAGGGUCCCAGCAGAUAUGAUCAAUGGAAUAGCUUGCUUGUGAAAUUAACGUACAAGUAACUGAGCAUUCCACAGACAUGUGUACCUUUAGCGUAGUUCGCAAAGAGAUUCAGAGUGAUACAGUGUGUGGCAAGGCUGGCCCUUUUUUGAAAUACAGGUACAACUCAUUUUUGCCAGCUGAGUGGACUGUAGCAACGUAAAAUAAAGUAUCUUGUGCAAGGACACAAUGCAUCGUCUGGAAUCAAACUCACAACCUUACGAUCAUGAGCCGAAUGCCCUAACCACUAAGCCAUGCGCCCUCACUUUAUAUUACUAUUACCAGCAAAAAUGGCAAUUCAUCUAAACCUUAUUUUAAAGCAACUGGAAGAAAAGAAAAAAAUUAGAUCUAAUAUUACAGAGCUCCUCUCCAAAGAUUGAAUAUUUAUACACUUUUUGCCAAAGCUACGAUUUGCUAAAACUUGUUUAUUUUGUUUUUGUUUGUUUUACUUGUUUUUUGUCGCUGUUGUUUUGGAAUUACAACUGUAAAGUGGACAAUGUUACAGUUAGAAUACAUAUACUUGUAUAGAUGUGGACACAUACAAUGAUUAGGAACAAUAUUUCAAAUUGCUUCCAAUAUUUUUUUAUCCUUACUUCAAGAAAAUGGCUAUUUCUUUUGAUCAAUUGUGGUUCAUAACUUUGAUUAUGGCUUUAUUUGGGUCCCUGCAAAUCUGGUUCUGCAAUAAAUGGAAAUGAAUAAUAAGAUUUCUCACGACAUCAUCAUAUGGUAUUCUGUUUCCAUGGUCUAAUGCUGUUACCAAUCUUUAUACAUUCCCAUACAUUAAUUUUUAUGCUAUUUAUUUAUUUAUUUGAAAAAGGAAAUUUUUCUCAACUAUUUUGGCUAGUUCUGAAGAUAUAAGACAUUGCUGAACAAGCAUUUUAAUCCAUCAUUCAUGAGUUCUGUCUGUGAUCUUGAUCAUGUUAUCAGCAGAAAACACAUUUUCUAUGUUUUCAAAAUCUCUAUGAACUGUGUAUGGAAUUUAGUAAAUCCAGCUUCAAAGUUAGAAAACAUUUUCUUCUCUUCAAAAAUAAUACAAAAAAAAAUCAAUUUUGCUAAGAUUAAUUUUGGUUUUAUGGUGGAAUAUAGUACCUUAUUUUCUAAGUUUAAAUUUCUCAAAACUUUUCUUUCACUGAUUUGAAAACUACAUCACUGAUUUUUGUUUGUGCUUAAAUUAAAUAUAUUUUUUUUUAAGUUUGUAUAAUUUGCAUUGAGGAAAAAAGGAGAAAACAAUAAAUAAUUUUGGUUUCAUUACACUUUAAUAAAUAAAUCGUCAUCACACAUUCAUCAAAUGCCAAAUCUGUGAAAAAUGUUAUACUCUGCCAAAUAGAUUCGACAAUAACUUGUUCUUGUCAUAACUUGUUCUUGUCUAGAUUCGACAUAACUUGUUCUUGUCUAGAAUUGGCUGUAGAGUAGUCAGCCUUGGCUAUGUUCAUUUGUUGAUAAAUUUUCAAGGCUAAGUAGUAUGGUUUAUUCAUUUGGCCUAUUAUUAUUAUUAUUAUUAUUAUUAUUAUUAUUAUUAUUAUUAUUAUUAUUAUUAUUAUUAUUAUUAUUAUUAUUAUUAUUAUUAUUAUUAUUAUUAUUAUUAUUAUUAUUAUUAUUAUUAUUAUUAUUAUUAUUAUUAUUAUUAGCAUCUUCUUUCAAUUCUGUUUCCAUUUCUUGUCGAGUAUCUUCCUGACACCUAGGACAGAGAAAUGUAUUGUAUACAUUGGUAUGCAGUAUACAUUAUUAUUAUUACCAUUAUUAUUACUAUUAUUAUUAUUAUUAUUAUUAUCAUUAUUAUUAUUAUUAUUAUUAUUAUUAUAAUUAUUAUUAUUAUUAUUAUUAUUAUUAUUAUGUUUCAUUUUUGUAAAUCCCAAAUAGAUGUUAAAAUGAUCAAUUCAUUUCAGUUAGGGAGUAGUCAACAAGUCGAUAAUGAUCCCUUCUUCUCCUAAGCCUUAAUACAGACAAGACUUUUCUUAAAAUCCUUGCUGUGCCAAGAAGUGUUUGUCUUCUGCAUUCUCUGUAAACCUUGCACCAAUUCCAAUUUCAUUUACAAGCUUCUCAAGAUUCUACAAUAUGCAUCUCACUGCUCCAAUCACCUCUGAAAUCCCUAAAACCUUCUUCAUCCCCCACCACUUUCCAAUCCCUUCCUUCAGUGACUCAUACUUCUCAGAAUCAUUAACAUGUCAGGCAAAAUGCUUAGCGGCAUUUUGUCUGUCAUUACAUUCUGAGUUCAGACUUUGCCUUUCAUCCUUUCGGGGUUGAUAAAUUAAAUACCAGUGAAGCACUGGGGAUCGAUGUAAUCGACUAAUCCCCUCCCAUAAAAUUUUAGGCCUUGUGCCUGUAAUAGAAAUUAUUAUUAUUAUUAUUAUUAUUAUUAUUAUUAUUAUUAUUAUUAUUAUCAUUAUUAUUUUCAUGUUUAAUACAGUUACAUAUUACAUAUGCAUAUUGUAGGGCUACAAUUUAAUAGGCAACAAUAAUUUCAUAUAUCCUGCUGCUUUGAUUAAAUUCUGUAAUUGUUGACCAACAGUACAGACAACAACAGUCACAAAGAACUCAAUACUGGGAUAAGAGUAUUAUAAAUAAAAACUAAAGUUGAAAAUAGUUCAAAAGUAUUGCUUACAGUUUCAUCUGUGAAUCUUCAGAAUUGCAAUUUUGAGAGUUCAAUAGAUAGAACUGCAGUAAAUUAUAAUUCUGAACUCUUUCAACUAUAUUCCAUAUUUAUAUUUGGUAAACAUUUCACCAACGCCUAUUUUCUGAGCUAUUCAAGUUAAUGGUUUGUUUUCUGGUAGUUGCCUAAUGCAAUGUGGUGUGAUGUUCUACAUAAAUUCUGUUAUGUACACUGUUGCAGGUUUAUUGUGUAUAUUGUAUUGUUGAUGGUUAAUUAUGUAUGAUGUAUAAUAACGUAAAUGUCCUUAACUUAUACCAAAGGCAUCCUACUAAAAACCUCGCCUUGUUUGUUGAAUCGUUGCCAAUGUAGCCAGUUUUAUCUUUGAUUCCUUUUAUUUCAACUGUUUUUGUUUUUCCACGCUUUCCUUCUUUUUCUUUCUUUUUUGAUUCAUUUUUCAACACACUCCACAUUCUAGGUCCGAUAUUUCUUGUUUCAGAAGGGGACGGGAACAAUGACGCUUUGGCUUAACAUGCUUUCAAAAGUACCCAACCAUUUGUAAACCACUGUGUGCGCUGUCUAUUUACUGCGUAAGUACAUUCCAUAGUGACUGUCCACCAUAUCAUUGGAUUGCAACUAAAUAUUUGUUUCUUGGCACCAAAUAAUAAUUUAUUUAGUGCAUAAAUGUCUAAUGUUACUGCUUCACUCAGUAAUUUUAAAUAAUGCGCAGGUUUUUUUUUUCCUUUCUAUUUUACAAUAGAUUAACUUUUUAAUCUGCAAACAAUAGAUUUAAUGAAAAUAGUUCAAAACAUAACACUUGUUUUUUUCUUUCUUUGUACACAGCCUCUAAAACUAUGCUUUGCUUCCUGUUCAAAGCAUAGGAAAUGAAAUAUUGGAAUGUGUAUCAACUGAAUUUAUUUCAGAGUUAAAAAUCUAAUCUUAAGAUUAAUACAUAAUAUAUUUAUAUCUAUAUUCCCUAUUUAAUUUAUCAUCUUCUAUUCAGGUUAGCAAUAUUUUAAAUAGAGGCAUACAUUUAACUCUGUUGAUACAUAAUGUAGUAGUAUAUACCAUUAUAUAACGAUUGUUAUACUCAAGUAACUCUUAUAAAAUUUGCUUUCAUAUGGAAUAUUUAUACAGGGAAAUCUUUUGUUCAAUUAUUGAAAUAGUUGUAAAAGAUGUUCUCCAAAAAUAUUUGAAUAGAAUAUAUAUUAACCAAUGAAAACAUCAUCUGAAUACACAACAGUGAUACAAGCCUGUUUUUCUGAAAGCUUAUUGAGAUUUAGGUUUGAGUGAAAAUUAUCAGAUUACAUAUUGAACCAUUAGUCUUGUGGGAUUCUAUAAACUCUCCUUUAAAACAUUAUUGAAUGGGUUUUAUCUCAUAAUAGAAGUAAAUAUUUAUUUGCUUUUUCAUAUAUUUAUGAUUACCCCUCCAGGUAAUCCCAUUUGAUCUCUGCUGAGGAUUUAACACACCAACUGGUGUUGAUGCUAGUUGUUGUUGUUGACAAAACAAAUUAAUUGAGUUGGGGUUUUUUUUGCUGGUUCAACCACUUUUUUGAAUUAUCAAUAAAUUCUCCUCAUGCUUCUUUGCUAUUUAAAAAAAAACCUAAUUUAUUUAUGAUUAGAGAAAACUGACUAUAUUGUAAAAUUUGUGUAACGCAUUGAUUAUUUUUUUUAUUUACCACCCAAUUAAUUUAGUAGAUAUUCCAACUAAAUUUAUGAAUCAGUUGUAUUCCCAAACCAAAUAUUUAUUUAUAUUUUUAUCUAUACAUAAAAUCAUUAUCAUAACCAUCAUUAUCAUCAUCAUCAUUAUCAUUAUUAUUAUUAUUAUUGUUAUUAUUAUUACAAAAAUUAUCAUUCGUAACAUUAUUAGUACUACCACACACAAAUGCACAUUAGUUACAUGAUUGUGAUUAUAAACUUGACAUCAAUUCACAAUGAGGUCAUAUUUGGACAAGUUACAUCAGCCAUUUACUUCAAUAUAAUUAGCUUGCUUAGAUAGCCUUAAAUAGGUUUCAACUAGUAGUAGAGAUGCAAGCUACAGCUUAAUAAAUAGUACCACAUAGUUAUACUUUAUGACGUAUUAGUUACUGGACAAUUCCAUAGUAUUAAAAGAUCACCGAUUCUGCUUAAAAAGCAAAAUGGUUAACCACUGGGGUUGAUAAAUGUAUAAAAGAUGAGAAACUAAUGUGAUUGAUUCUCAACAUAAAGAAAUACUUGCUUAGCAAUAGCAUUUAAUUUAUAUGAUGUUUUCCAAUACAUCAGUCAUGCCAGAAAACCAAAUAUCAUCAAAACCAGUUUACAAAGGUUCAUAGAAUGCAUGCAGAUCUAUAGAUGUCUUACUUGACAAAAAUAUUCAUACCAACAUUAACAUAAAAUUAAGACAUUUUGAAAAUUACCAGUUGUUAUGAAUAUUGCUUUUAAUUUAAAUUAAUUAUUCCAUUUAAUUACAUGAGAAGAUUUAAAAUGAUGCAUUAAAGAAUAAAUGUAAAAUAUCCAAUAUUUCAUAAUGGAAAGGAUUUUUCUCUAAAAGAUUGGUUUAUAGUUUUGGUUUGCAUUGCUUAUUUAGUUUCUGUGUCUGAAUCUCUAGAAUUACUGAGUGAUCAAAUGUGUGUGUAUGUGCGUGUGUGUGUGUGUGUGUGUGUGUGUGUGUGUGUUCUUUUUGGUUCUGCUGUGCGUCAUGUAAAAAUAUUGCAGCAUCUUAACAUCAAGUAUCACAAAAUUCUUUGAAUGUAGGAAGCUGUUUUUAUUGAUAUCUAUGAGACAACACAGUUUUACACACACCCACAAGCACACACCCACAAGUACCACCACCCCACACACACACACAUGUACACAUCUAUGCUUACCAAUUUGUAAAAUGGAACCUGUUUUGUAAUGUGAUGCUGGAAUUGAGCGCCCUGCUGCAUAUCAUGGUUGAUGUCCUCUCUGAUCAAUGUUGUAUGAAUAUAUCUAUAAAGAUUUCUUAUAUUUUCAAGAGAAUGCAAGUAUGGCAAAAUGGUUAGGAAGUUCAUUUCACAAUCAAAAGGUCAUGGGCCCAAUUGCACCGUAUGGUAUUUGGCAAAACUGUUUUUACAACACCAAUGGGCCAAGCCAAGCCUUGAGUGAAACUGGAUUGAUAGAAACUCUAUGGAAGCCUGAUGAAGAGAUUUUGGACCUAUGAUUUUAAGACCCCUCCUCAUCACUGUGUCAUGCUAAUUCUGCCAGAAAAUUACAUUAAGUGUACACAUGUCUGUGGAAUACUCAUCCACAAAGAUGCUAACAAGAAUCACAUGCUCAAUUUGUUAAUUAUAUUUGUUUAAUUGUACAUCUUCAGUUCACUAUGGAUCAUCAUUUCACAACCAUAGAGUUUCGUCUAUUGCAACAGCAAGUGUGGUUCAACCAUUGCAAUCAUCAUCAUCAUCAUCAUCAUCAUCAUAAUCCUCAUUGCCAUUACCACCACGACCAUCACCACUGUUGUUUCACACCUCCUUUCCAUACUGGCAUGGACUACUUGGUCAUAUUCUUCUCUUCUAGAUGGUUCAGAGGCCCAUAUCUCACUAGUAGGAGUCAUUUGUGAAUGGUGGUGUGGCGGGGGUGAUUUCAAUGGGCAGAUGCCCUUCCUAACACCAACCACUUUAAACAUUUUUAUGGUACCAGCGCUGGUGAUGAUGUUGUUACAGCUUCAACAAGAACAAAGCAUUCUCACAACCCUAUGCUUAGCAGAGUGUUCAGGGCGCAUGCUAUUGUGAUGUCAAAACUACGAGGGUUAGAAGCAACAGAAUGAUGGAUAGCAAGAGAUAGAUAAACACAGAGAGUAAUAAAUGGUGGGGGUGGGUGAUAAGAAGGGACCAUGAUUGAGGGUUGAGUGAUGAGUGGGUUAUGAGUGAUGAGAGGUUGUCAAGGGGGUAAAAAAUGUAACCUUAAACAGCAUGUGUGGGUAUAUAUGUAUAUGUGGGUAUGUAUGUGUGUAUGUAUGUAUAUGUAUGUGUGUGUGUAUGUAUGUAUGUGUGUUUCUAUCUAUCUAUCUAUCUAUCUUUAACUCUCACUAUCUUUCUCUCUCUCUUUCUCUCUCUCCCCCUCUCCCUCUCUCUUUCUCGCUCCAUUAAAUCAACAGCAUUUAAACAAUGUCAGCUAUCUUUUUUAUCAUUCAGUGUGCAUUGAGGACCACAUUAUUCAACAUGACUUCCUUUUUUCUAAAACAGCAGUGUGUGAUUACAGCACGAUUUGACUGCAAUAUCUAGCAUGCUGAGUCACCUUGUAGAGUCUCUUUUAUCAAUGUGGGAUAAUUCUUUUCGUACAAAUAGGUUUCUUUAUUCUUUUACUCAUUUUUCUUUCACUCUCUCUCUCUAUCUUUCUUGUUUUAUAUAUAUAUAUAUACACACAUAUAUAUAUAUGUAUGUAUGUAUGUAUGUAUACAGACAAACCUACAAUGGCUAAAUAUGUUAACAUCAACUUAAAGACCCACUAACAGUCACCUAUACAAGUCCAUCUGUCUGUUAUAAACUUACACGUUUGCGUACAUAGAUCACACUGAUUUACAUAUAUGUUAUCAUGUAUGUAUAUACAUAUAUAUAUAUUUAGAUAUGUAUGUAUAUAUGUAUGUAUGUGCAAGUAUUAUACACAUGUGUGACUGUGUGUUUGUGUGUGUAUGUGCGUGCAUGCAUACGUAUUUGUUUUAUCUUUCAUUUAUUCGACAAAAUUUAUUCCUCCGAGUAUGUUUAAGCCUUAUCAGUGUUGUUUGGAGCUGAGAACAUGUAUUGAUUGCCAAUAUUUAUUACUAAUCAGUAAUAAGUACUUCUGCUGUUAUAAACACUGCAAGAUAUGUCAGUUAUUUUCAUUUUUCUCUUAUCUUGCGAUAUUAUAUGUUUUUGAAGUUUCCACACUUCAACGUUUGCUCUUGUAGCAACCUUACACACAGUAUGUUUAUUUCUUUUAAACUACCAAAAAUGACCUUUGUUAAGGGUAACACUUUCCAGACCAUUUUUGCCAUCAGCAUGUUAUCUCUUUGAAUUUAACCUUUGACGUAUGAGAAAUAUCUUUCUGAGUUUUUUUUUUUCCUUUGUCUUUAGUUAUGUAGGCCUUCUCUGCUUUUCGUAUUAUGAUAUCCAAUGGUUUUCAGAUUAUUCUAGUUGAUUAACCCAUCUAUAACAGAAACUCAUAGUUUAGUAUCUUUGGUAAAUUAUUCCAAGAGAUGCUGUACUUUUAAUGAAUACCAUACAUAGUUUUAAUUAAAGUUAAUUUACAGACUGUGAUAGUGACAGGUGUGGCUGUGUGGUUAAGAAGCUAGCUCCCUAAGCACAUGGUCUUGUGUUCAAUUCUGCUGCAUGGUAACUUAGGCAAAUUUCUUGUUGCAUAGCCAUGGGCUGAUCAAAGUCUUGUGUGUAGAUUUGGUACAUGGAAACUAAAAGCAGCCUGCCAUAUAUUUGUAUGUGUAUAUGUUCUAUGUAUGCGCGAAGGCGUGUGUGUGUGUGUGUGUGUGUGCAUGCAGCUUUGUCUUGACUUCCUGUGAUGACUGCAAAUGAGCAUCCCUAUCAUAGAGCCUUAUUAGCAUUGUUGCUCAUUUCCAAUCUUCCAUGAAAAAUGUGUGGCCAAGGAGGGGGUAUAUUGUCUCACUUGGGAAACAGAUGAGAUAAGGGUUGGCAGUGGUAAGUGCAUCCAUCCAUCCAGCAAUAGAAAAUCUGUCUCAAGAAGUUCCAUUUGACCCAUGCAAGCAUGGAAACUGGACGUAAUACAAAAGUGAUGAUGAUGAUGAUGAUGAUAUUGACAACAACAAUGGCGACGACGAUGAGGACAACUAUGACGAUGAUGUUGAGGAUGACAGCAAUGAUGACAGUGUAGUUUGAAUGAAGUAUCUCGUGAUUGCAGUCGUUAUAAGAUUCUUAAAUUCCAAGACAAUGGAAAUUGGAAAUGGAAAAGUGAAAUAAGAAGCAAGGAAGACAAAACAACAGUUUACACUUUACCCUAUAUUUCAAUAUCUCAGGAUCAAAACCCCUUUAUCAAGAGAAAAUGGAGAAUGGCUACAUGCUGAUAUCUUUUACUCAGAUAUAUGCAAGGAGAUGAUUGUUACAUGUGCUGACUAGUAUUGUUAAAAUAGCCAACCCACUUCAUGCAGUUUAGGACUAUUGUUCAUAGAUGGAUUCAAUUUAUUAAUGAAAAUAGCUUUCUUAAAUCUCAAAUACUUGAUGUUCUGUUAUCUUGACGAUAACUGUGAUGUCAUGGAUGUUGUAUGUCUCUGGGGGCUUCAUAAAUGUGCACUUGCAUACAUGCUCUGUAAUGCAAAUAUGCAUUUUUCUGACAUACGAAUGUCACUUGAGCUGGCAGAAUCAUUAGUGUAUCGUAUGAAUUAUAUUUGAAUUCAAAUCUUGCUGAGGUCAACUUUGCCCUACAUCAUAUUGGGACUCAGUAAUAUAAGAUACCAGUCGAGUACUGGAGUCGUAUUUGGUUUACUGCCACCCCCACCCCCACUACCACCACCCAAAAUGCUGGCCUUGUGCCAUAAUUUGAAACCAUAUUAGUAUUCCACGCGUAGCUGGUGGGGGUGGUCUGCACCCAGGUGGCACUUUUGGGUCUGCUGUAGGCAAUAUGUUUUUGUGGGGUCUGGGGGAAGCAAAUGGAAGGGCCGACCUGGGAGGCACACACUAGCUACGCUAAUGCAUAGGAAGGUAGCUUUUCUCUGUUACCUUUUACUUGUUUCAGUCAUAAGGCUCUGGCCAAGCUGGGGCAUCACCUUGAAGAAUUUUUAGUUGAAUGAAUUAACUCCCACCUAGUAUUGUUUUAAGCUUGGUGCUUAUAUAAUUGGUCUCUUUUGACAAACCUCAAAGUUAUAGGAACAUAAACGAACUAAUGCUGGUUGUCAAACAGUGGUGGAGAACACAGGCACAAAGACACACACAUAUACAUAUAUGACAGGCUUCUUUCAGUUUCCAUCAACCAAAUCCACUCACAAGACUAGUAAUGUCUUCUACUUUAGUCUAAGGUUAUAGUGGAAGACACUUCCCCAAGGUACCAUAUGGUGGGACUGAACCUCGAACCAUGUGGUUGGGAAGCAAACUUCUUAUAUUUCCCUUUGAAAAAAAGCUUGUAUCUGAAUUUCUACAGCUGUUUCAAAUGUAUUAGUGAUUGUCUUCUCAGAAUGAAAAUAUAACCAUCUAUAAUAUUACAAAAUAUAUAAGCAACUUCUUCAAUUUCUUCUUAUUAACUCUGUUUAACUUAUUCUUUAUUAUAUAUAUUUUUUUAGUAUGUUGUUUUACUGAACUGCAAAGUCCUCCAGCUUUUCUUUCCGUGAAGUUUUACACACAAAAUCGUAUAACUAAAAUACUUCAGCAAACCAUUCAAUGUAUCGCCAAUGAAACCUUAUAACUUUCUCUUGUCAUUUCUUAACAUAUAAAUUUUUCUAUAGCAACAAAAGAUUUUGCAGGGCUAGCAACUUUAUUUAGAGUAUUCAACCAUGUAUUACACACACACACAUACACACGUAUAUAUGUUGUAUGUAAUGUACAGCUUUGUGGUAGAUUCAGCAUAGUUAUUAAAACACAUAAACACAGUUACAUUCCCAUUUAGUACAUUAUUAUUAUUAUAUUUAUUAUUGUUGUUGUUGUUGUUGUUAUUAUUAUUAUUAUUAUUAUUAUUAUUAUUAUUAUUAUUAUUAUUAUUAUUACUACUACUACUACAAGACUAUUAUAUAUUAUAAGGUAUCAAAGUCUUUCAUCUUACGUCUCUGACCUGGUCACUGAUAAUCUACUUGACUGUAUUUGGCAUUGCCGUUUUUGUUGCUUAACCUCGGGUCAAACCUGAUAGAGCAGACUUAUGAUCAAAAGCACCGUUUCUGUUGAAGUCAAUUGUUAACUUUAUAUUUCUUUUUUCCUCCCUUGCUCUUCUCUUUCUCUCUCUCUUUCACUCUCUCUCCCACUCUCGUUCUUUCUCUUGUUCUUUCUUUUCCUUUUCCUUCCUUGCCGAUGGUGUCUUGUUUUGCUAAAGUAUCUGCCAUAAGCCAAGAGCUAACAAAAACGAAAAGUUGAAGACUUUUAUGCAAAUACUAUAAUUUUUAUUAAUAAAACAUCAAAAAACAAACUGCUGUAUUUGAUUCAAAUAUUCAAAAUGUGCACCACCUUCUGCCACCAGACACGUUUUGUAAUCUCUUGGGUAACGAUCAACAAGCUUUGAGACAUAAAUCAACUGUCAAAUGCCACAACAACAGCAAACGAAAGGAAAAAAGGAAAAGAAAGAACGGUUUGGUCACCGUUGGUAUGCCUUUGAUAAUAUAGCCUUUCAAUAUGGCUGAGCUGGUAUUAACUGACACCACACUAAACUGAUGCACGACUUAACAGAAAUGGUAGCCACAUCUACCUCAAAAGAAAUGACAGAUUGUAUGAAGUCGUCCUUGAUACAUUGUCUCUGAAUAGAGAAAAAUAAAUUAAGUUUGAUUUCAAAUUAAUAGAUAUAAAUUUGCUUCGUUUUGGGUUUUUUGUUGGUUUUUAUUAUUUGUGUUUUUUCCCAUUUACAUUAUUUAACUUUCGUCAGUGGAAGAAGAAUGCUUGAGCCCAUUGCUUUUGCUGGCCUUUUCAAAUUGAUGAGAUUGAUGCAGAUAAUCUUCCCUCUUCAAUAAUGUAGGUUGAUGGUAGCAAGGAAAAUGAAGACAGAUAGGGAAUUCUAGAGAACCAAAAUUUUGUAGAGUAAGGACUGAGUAUAAUUAGUGGCAAAUCUGAGGAAUGGACAUAAUACAGACAUUGACAUGAAGUGGCAGAACUGGAAUGGAAAGGUCUGUGUGAAGAUGGCACAUGAUGAACUUGCUCCAAAAAACAAAAAUCAUUGAAGUAAUGGCAUGAAAGACAGGGAUUUAAAUACGUUGGUGAAUAAUUAUGUUAAUGAUAAUGUAUGAGCACUAACUUAACUGUUGCUUUUUUGUGUGGAAGGCAACCCUGAGUAAAUUAGAUGUUAUCAAUACUGUACAUCCACUUACUGUUUCUCUUGUUACUAAGUCAAUAUCUACAAUGAAGUCUAUGUUUUACUGAGGAGGUCUAAUAAAACUGAAACAUACCCAACAUGAUUAAAAUGAUAUCUCAUUAUGGAGCUAAUAUUAUCUUUCCCUCUCUGCUCCACUAUGACGAUUGCCAUGAUCAUGGAGGUUUGACUUGGUAGCAUAUAACAUGCUUUCACCAAUUUCUUUUAGGUGUUUAUGUAGCCAAAAACAAACAUUCAUCUUUCUUGGCUCACUCUCACCCUUGACUUGGUGGAGCAUCCAAGAUGUGACAGCUGUGUAGACUGAAGUAAUCUUUUAUCUUUUAAUUGUUUCACUCACUGGACUGCUGCCAUGCUGGGGAAUACUGCGCAGAAAAGGAUUUAGUUGAACAAAUCAAACUCAAUGCAUAUUUUCUAAUCUGGCACUUCUGUUAGUCUCUUUUGCCAAACCACUAAGUCAUGGGGGUGUAAACAAAAUUCAACACCAGUUGGCAAGUGGUGGUGGAAACAAAGACAAAAGGCACACACACACACAUACACACACACAAACACACACUCACAUAUACAUACAUACAUAUACAUGUACACACACGCAUGCACACACACACAUGCAUGCAUACAUACAUCUGUACACAUUUACACACAUAAAUACAUACACAUAUACACACACACAGACCAGCCGAGAUUGCUGGGAUGAUCCGGUUCUUGACUGAAGAUUAAGGGCUUCGAAUGACCCGUCCGUGUUUUUUUGUAUCGUCUAUCUGGAUGUUUAGUUGUCCCUUUUUGUAUCAUUUAGUUGUCCGGAUGUUUUGCGUUCUUGUCCCAUUUUGUAUUUUAUUUUAUAUAUAUACAUACGUACAAAUAUACACACAUGCAUGCUCACAUAUACAUGCAUAAGUACACGUAUACACACACAUGUAUGCACACACACACAUAUACACAUACAUACACACACACACACAGAGGCAAGUAAAAAAUACAAAACAGGAAAAAACGACAAAAGUCAAUUGGACGUACACAAUGGAUAUAUUAGAUCGAUGCUUAGUGAAAGUUACAGUUGGAAAAAAAAAGUAGUGGAAAUGACAUUCCAAGCAUGGCACUUUGUUGGAAUGAGGAAAAUGAUGGGCUUCUACACAGUUUCCAUCAACCGAAUUUACUCAUAAGGCAAUCAUCAGCCUGGGUCUAUGGUAGAAGACAGUUGCCGAAGGUGCUACAGAGUGAAACUGAACCUGCAACCAUGUGCAUUGCAACCAAGAUCUUGUGGUUGUAAUACAAACUUCUUAACUAUGCAUCCCCACCCAUGCUCUCUCUUUACUCUUUUACUCUUUUACUUGUUUCAGUCAUUUGACUGCGGCCAUGCUGGAGCACCGCCUUUAGUCGAGUAAAUCGACCUCGGGAUUUAUUCUUUGUAAGCCCAGUACUUAUUCUAUCAGUCUCUUUUGCCAAACCGCUAAAUGACAGGGACGUAAACACACCAGCAUUGGUUGUCAAGCAAUGCUAGGGAGACAAACACAGACACACAAACACAUACACACACAUACACACAUAUAUAUAUAUAUAUAUAUAUAUAUAUAUAUAUAUAUAUAUACGACAGGCUUCUUUCAGUUUCCGUCUACCAAAUCCACUCACAAGGCAUUGGUCGGCCCGGGGCUAUAGCAGAAGACACUUGCCCAAGGUGCCACGCAGUGGGACUGAACCCGGAACCAUGUGGUUGGUUAGCAAGCUACUUACCACACAGCCACUCCUGCUCGUGGAGAAAAAAUAACUUGCUCAACUGCACUCCUCAGUCCAGGAAUGGAACUCUCAAACAUAGGACCAUGAUCCAAACACUCUAACCACUGGACAACACACUUUAUUUUCACUGCAUAAUUAUUUCUAAUAAGAAUUUUUUUUUUAUAGUCAUUACAUUAAAUAUGUUAAUACUAACUUAACGACUGUUUUUCAUGCAGAUGCCAUCAUCGAGUAAUUAGCUUCAGUUAAUUACUUUUUUUUAAAUAUGUUACAUUAUUUUGAAUAUGCUAAUUUCCUUCGCCUACUCAUGUACAUUACUAUGCAUCUAUUUAGUGAUUCUUUCAUCACCACUUCAGUAAAUGCUCUCAUAUUUAUGCUUCAGUGACGAAGCCUAACAGCCUCGGAUAUUAAAAUUAAAUCUGAAAUUAAUGUAGAACCCACUCUCACCUCUUCUACAACAGCAAUCCUAACAUCUAUUCUGUUUCUAAUAAAUUAUUCUUUUAUUCUUUCAUUCUCUUAUUCUUUUACGUGUUUCAGUCAUUGAGACCUGUGCUGGGGCAUUAUCUUGAAGGGGUUACUCAAACAAAUUGACCCCUGCAUUUGUUGGUGUUGUUGUUUUUCUGUCUGGUACCUAUUACGUUUCUACUGGUAUCUUGAGCUGAACUGUUACAUUGUGGAGAUGUAACCAAACCAACAUUGGUUGUGAGUGAGAGAGAAGAACUAAUACAAACAGGCACAGACUCAUGUAUACAUACAGUUCUAUAUGCCCACAGGCAUAUGGCGCAAUGGCUAAGAGUGCGGGCUACUAACCCCAAGAUUCCAAGUUCGAUUCCAGGCAGUGACCUGAAUAAUAAUAAUAAUAAUGAUAAUGAUAAUAAUAAUAAUAAUAAUAAUAAUAAUAACAUCGAAAAAUACCUUAGGAAUGAGAACCCAGGUUCGAAAUUUUCCCAAGACACCUGAUGAAGGCUGGAGGGUAUAUCAGUUGAAGCAUUGUGUUCACAACAAACAAGAUGAGGACAAAUAUCUGUCAAAUGUAAAUAAUGUAAAUAAUGUACAUGUAUACAUAUAUUCAUCCAUAUAAAUAUACAGAUAUACAUGUACAUGGUAUCAGGACAAAAUCCCCCCAGAUAAAUUUUAAACAAAAAUAUCUACUAAUAAAUAUUAAAAAUCUUUUCAUAAAAUUUCCCUUUCCUAAAAUACUUCUAUUGUAAAGAAAGAACAAUAUCCUGAGGGAUAUCAACAACUGGGGGGAAUUUUGUCUGGUGGGGGAUUUUGUCCAGAGGGGGAUUUUGUCUGGAUGGGGUGGAUUUUGUCCUAGUACCCAUGUACAUACGUGUAUGUGUGUGUGUGUGUGUCCAAUGAGCUUCUAUACAGUUUUUCAUCUAUCAAAUUAAUUAAAGAGGCAUCGGUUGGGCUGAGGUUGCUAUAGUAAAAGACACUUGACCACAGAGUUGCAUAAUGGGACUGAACCUGAAACCACAGGGUUGUAAAGCAGACUUGUUACCAAGUGCCUACCUAAACAACUGAAAAACUUGAUAUUCUUUGAAUUAAUAACUGAAGCGUAUCACAAUUUCGGCACCACCCUUCCAAACAUGCACAACAAUAUACAAUGUCUUCCUUCUUGUGAUCAAUAUGCGGAUUUAUUCAAACUGUGCCAUCCUUUAUAAUAUAUUAUUGCCACAAAGAAGAAUAGGAAUAAUAUAUAUGUUUCUAUAUUUUUCAAUUGAAGAAAUAUAUAUUAAAAACAAAACUUAAGAAAAAAAAGGUAGAAGACAGUGUAGUGAAAGAAAUAGAUUUACAUUGUUUAUAUAGUAAAAAAUAUACCAUCACCAUUCACCAUUUUAUUUAACAUACAGCAGGAUGUAUAUAUAUAGAACAAGACCACUAUAGAUUAGCUCCAUAAGAGAGCCAUCUCAGAAGGAUGCAGUCAUCUUUUCUCAUUUUAUUAGGUGUAUGUGUAUCUAUAUGUAUACACACACACACACACACACACAUAUAUAUGUAUGGAUAUGUGUGUAUAUAUAUAUAUAUAUAUAUAUAUAUAUAUAUUAUAUAUAUAAAUGUGUGUAUGUAUGUAUUUAUAUGUAUAAAUAUAUAUAUAUUUAUGUAUGUAUAUGUAUAGGUGUGUAUAUAUGUAUAUAUAUUCAAAGGCCUCAGCAUUAAUUGAUAACAUUUAUAAUAUUGAUAGUCUCAUCUCCAUUUUUGACCUGUCUACUACAAUACUACUUAUACACACACACACACCCACACACACACACAAAUAUCUGGCUCCAAUAUUUCUAGUUGUUUAUUGAAAGCCGGAUAUUCUGUGAAAAUCCGAGAGUAUUUUGUAGUCGUGUUUUUUCUGUGGCUUUUCACAAUAAGCAUCCAGUGGUUCAAACAGCUGAAUCUUUAAUUAAGAAAUGGACAUGUGGCUGGUUGAAUAUUCCAGAGUCACAUAUAUAUGUAUCUUAAUGUUCACAAGUAGGAUCGGUGUGAUACGAUGUGACAUGACCUCACCUUUGACUUACAGAUAAUACAAUCCAGAGAGAAACAGAUAGAAAGAGAACACUAAACCUCAGUAUUAGAAUGAUACUUUCUUUAUCAGUUGCAGAAAAGCUGGAGGGCAAAAUCGACAUAACUGGGUCUUGAACUCAGAUCACAGAGAGCUAGAAUGUAUACUGCAAUGCAGUUUAUCUAAUGAUCUAUUAAUUCUACUAAUUGAUAGCCUUUUUCUCAAGCAUUUAUGAGAGAAAUCAUCUCAAAAAUAAGGCACUGGUUGGAAGUCUUUUUUUCUAAAGUGUUUACUCCAUUUAAGUAAAAUUACAGUCUCUGGAGACUGUUUCAUUUUUGAGUUGUUGGAACACACUAAGGAUGAGGCAAAAUGUUACAUCUCUAGCAGCUCUAAACCAUAACAAAAGGAAAAGUGUCACCAUAAAAGACAUCAAUGUCAUCAGAAAUAUGGCUAGGCCAAUCAAUACAGGCUGACGUAUUAUGGUCCAUACUUUGAACUUUAAGCAAAGUGUGUGAUUUUCCCACACUUUGUUGAAGGUUCUAGAAAAUGUGGCUUACAGUUAUAAAAGCUAGCAAAUUCAACUUCAGUCCGGAGUCACUUAGUAAGCUACAUGAAACUAACUCACUUUUUUAGUGAGCUGGUCUCGCAUACUCUUUUACUUAUUUAAUAUGCUUUUGUUUUAUUCAAGAAAAGGUACCAAAUUUCAGUUGUUAUCUCAAAUAACACACAGUGGAUUUAAUUCCUUCUACCUCUUUGUAUUCAGUGACUAUACACUACUUUCAAAACAUUAUCUAUGUUGUAUUAUAGAAGAUUCAUAACUGAUAUAUUCAUCGUUUCAUGAAUGUUAUUCGAUAAAUUAGCUAUGAGUACUCAUGUAAAUAUAUAGGAAUAGUAUAUGAAAAUUCAGAUAAAUAUUCAUGUGGUUAUUCUUUUCACAUGCAUCCUACAUGAUACUUGUGUGCUACCAUGCAAAGCAUCUGAUGUAAAGGAUAUAAAAAUACUUAUUUAUAAACAUGAAAAUAUCAUAAGUUUCCAUCAUCCAUUUCCUACUCUUUAUCAUUUUCCAUGCAAAAAUUCCUUCCCAUUCUCAUCAUCAGCAAGUUACUAUUUCUGCUGCUGCUGCUGCUGCUGAGGCUGCAUUUUCUUCUUACAUGUUGGCAUGGGUAUGAAAUGGAAACAUUCUAUUUUCUAAGUGAACUCUAACAAAUAUAAAAAUAUGAAUACUUUUCAACUUUCCUAGAGUCUAUCUCUCAUUGCUAAAAAGACGAAAGCAAUCAUAGAAAGACAAUAUUUUAUUUUUAGUUCCUGGUUGGGUUUUUUUAUUUAAUUUCUAUUUUGCUUUUGUUACUUUCGGAACUGCAAUUAUUCCUAUUUCUGGUUUCGACUGUCAAUAAAGUUAGUCAGCAACCUGAUGUGCUGCCUGUUAUCAAUUUUAAAGAUUCUAAAAUGACAUGAAAUCAAAUAAAUUUCUUUUUGCAUUCAAAAUCUUCAGUUUUACGCUAAGAGUUAGAUACUUUUUCUCUAACCUAAUGAAAAUAAAUCAUAUUUUUUCUCGAUAAUGCAAAUACGUCGACACUAAAUUAUAAACAUAAAGCUAAGCGAUUAGAAGUGAUGUUUGAUGAAAAGCAUGUUUGUACAACUGAGGAAUUUAUAAUCUCCACAAAAUGUAUCUUAUUGUAAAAGACAAUAAGAAUCAUUAAUGGUUUUCUAUGGCAUUUAUAUUAGACUUUAAUUCUUAUAAAAUAUUAACUGACAAAAACUUUAUGACGAGAUUUAGUAGGUUGAAACUGAAAUAAUCAUGUUCUCUGUGUAUGUGUGUAUGUGUGUGUGUGUGUGUGUGUGUGUGUGUAUACAGAGAAAGAGAGGAAGUUACAUGUACAUGUAUAUGCAUAUAUGUACAUGUAUAUGCAUAUAUAUAUAUAUAUAUAUAUAUAUGCAUAUAUGUGUGUGUGUGUAUAUAUAAAUAAAUAUAUGUAUAGAGAGAGAGAGAGAGAAAUAUAUAUAUAUAUAUAUAUAUAUAUAUAUAUAUAUACAGAGCAAUAAAGAGAGGCAUGUAUAUAGAGAGGCACAUGUAUAUAUGUGUAUAUGCAUGAAAGCAUGCACAUGAAUGUUAACAUUCCUUGUUGUCAUUAUGACUAGUCAUUUGGAAACUUCUGGAAUGAAAUAUUCCAUUCUUUAAUUCAAAAGGUGAAGUUUGAUGACAGGAAAAGCAUCCAGUCAUACAGUUCUAUCACGAAAAUCUCUCCAUCUAAAUACAUUGUUAUUAAUCUUCUGAGGGUUUUUUCUUUUUUAAUAAAUCCUUUUAAUUUCUGAUAAUGCAGUUUUAAUCAUUUUGGUGUAAGGCAAAUACCAGUAAUACACAGGUGAAUUGAGUAGACUUUCAUUUAAAUGGUUGGUAUAAACACACUGAGAUUUAUCUAUUUAAAAAGUUCUUGUUUAUCUGACCAUUAAUAAUCAGCAAAAAUUUCUCUCCACUGUUUCUGUCAGAUAUUCACUAAAGCUGAAAAAUAAUUCAAUUUUAGUUAGGAUUUUCCUUACUCUCUUUUGUAACAAAAACAUUGUCAAAAAUUCUGUUCUUUAAGAUUAUCAUUAUUAUAACUGAAUUAUUGACAACAUAUUAUUAUUAAGGCUAUAACACACAAAUUUUGCAUUGUUUUAGCAUCUACCAAUAAAAUCUAUAUCACCACAGAUCUUUUUGUUUUCUUAUACAUUUGUUAUUUUAGUGUCUAUUUUUUUUAUCUUGCUACAAGGCUUACUAAACUAUCAUUUAUCACAGCAAAACUUUUCAUUCAUACAAAAACAUUAGGGUUUUACACUGAACAAAAAAAAGUGGCAAAAGAAAAAUAACUGAAAAAUAAAAUCAAAGAUCUACAAAAACAUUUUCAUUGUUUUUCUAUUCAAUACAGCUAAAAAAAUUAUAUAUAUAAAUAGUAUAUAUAUAUAUAUAUGUGUGUGUGUGUGUGUGUGUGUGUGUGUGUGUGUGUGUGUGUGUGUGUGUAAAUAGACUAUAUAUAUAUAAACUAUAUAUAUAUAGUUUUUAUAUAUAUAUAUAUAUGUAUAUAUCAGAAAUAACGUAAAUAAUAUGAAGACCAUACUCUUAAAAAAAUUCCUUCAUUAGUGAAAUAUUAACUUUUAAAAUUUAUUCAGACUUCGUUCUAUUUUUCUUUUUUGUCUUUGGUGGAAUUUGUAGAGAUGAUAGUUAUGGUGUAGAGAAAGUGUAAAUGAGAUAAAGGGAGAUAAUUGCGUAGAGGAAAAGUGCAGGGGAUAAAGGAAUGUAAUGAUGGAAGGAGUUUGUAACAUGAAAGAAAAUUAUUCAUUUAGUACAGAUUGUUGUUUUGUGCAAACCAACUUAUUCACCGACUCAUUCAUUCAAUGUACCCACUCCCUUGACAAUAAACACCCUACCUACUAUCUCCUUUUUAUCUUUACUAUUUAUUCCUCAUUCUUAUCGUUUGUUUUACUCCAUUUCUUUCUCCUUUUUUUAUUUAUUUCUUUUAGUGACUGGAUAAUUGUUUAUUUUCUUUAUUGUUAUUUGAUUAUUGUUAUUUUUUUAAAUUCUUUCAUUCAAUUUUCAUCCUUUAUUUGUUAAUCUAACAUUGUCUUAAUUCGCUUUGUUCUGUUUUUUCUUUAUAUUUUUAUUCUUCUAUCCUUUGUUUUGUUUCCUUUCUUCAAAUCAAAGACAAUUCUUUCUUCAAUUUAUUUGUAUUUAUUUCAUUCUUUAUCCUUUACUUUAUUCAUUCCACUCGCUUACUCCUUCACUCACUCUCUUAUUGUAUAUUUUAUCUAAAACAAAAAAAAUUUGUAUCUAAGACAGACUUUAACGUACUUUUUUUUAAAAUUAUAUUUGUUUCUUAUUUUUACUAAAUAUAUUUUUUCCAGUUCUCUUCAAAUUGACUGUUGGGUUAUUCCCCUCUUAGUUUUCAAAAUAAACUUUGGUACAGAAACUUCUACACCUCCAACCUUACAUGAUCAUAGAUUGUUGCAAGUUUUUCUUUUUUUUUUGUAUCUUUUUUUGUUUCUUUCAUUCGCUAUUAUUUUAUCACAAAUUCAAUAAAAAAACCACGAUUUUGUUUUCACUAUUUUCUCUUUUAUAAAUUUCCCUCAGAUAAACUCUUCAUCUUAUUUUCUUUCUCACAUUUAUCAUUUUUGUUUAUUUUUUUCUUUCUCCUCAUUCAUUUUCUCUUUUAUUCAUAUUGUCAUUUAUUCAACAAAUCCCUCAAUUAUCUGGAACCUCUCCCAUGACUUCCGCCUAUAAAGUAAUGUUGUAAUGCAUAUAAUAACAGGGACCUUUUGUGGUUUUCAGUUCUACCGUUAUGUAUAUAUUUCAACCUCUUUAAUUGACAAUACAUUACUCAUACAGGGAAGAGGCAACCAUUCUUUUCGCAUUGUUUCACCAUAAGUGUAAGCAUCUGUAUCUGUAUGUGUGUAUAUAUAUAUAUAUAUAUAUAUAUAUAUAUAUAUGUGUACAUGUGUACGUCUGUAUCUCUCUCUCUCUCUCUCUCUCUUUCUCUCUCUCUUUCUCUCUCUCUGCAUGCUUCAACAAUUAUCUGUAUUUUUUGUCUUGUUUAUUGAUUAGAUGUGCAUGUGAAAGCGUCCAAGUUCUCAGUUGCAUUGCUUGUAUGCAAAUGAGUGUUUUCACGUAUGCAUUUCUUUCGCACUCACUUUCAUAUCUUCUUGCGAGCUGACUGUAAUCUGACAUUGUCCCCUGAUUUCUUUUCAUCAGCCCUUUUACAAUCUCCUUCUCCCUUUUUAAAAUUUCCAUAAAUCCCCUUUUACUGUCUUAGUUUACUUUUUGCCUGAUGUUACGACACACCAUCAAUCUAUCUUUUAGCAGCUUGUUUCUAAUCUGUUUCAUUUUAAUUUCAAGUAAUCUUCUAUUUCCUUCCAUUGUAAGCACACUUUCUCCCUCUCUUUCUGUCUCUCUCUCUUUCUCAUACAUAUUCCAUUGCUCCAGCAAGCAAAACAGGAGGAAACAAAGAAAAACCACUUUUACAAGCAAACACUCCCUUAUAAUACAUUCUUAUCUCUUUAUUCGUUUGUAUGUCUUAUUCUAAAUUUAAUUAGCUUCAAUAUUGCAGUGAAAUCUAUACGUAUAAAAAAAUUAAGACUAAGAUUUAAGAUAAAGUCUGAUAAAAUGUCUUGAAAUUCAAUGAUUCCAACAAGAAGACAUGUAAAAAAAUAUCUCUAUAAAUUUAUGUAUGUUCAAAUCUCUGAAAUAAGAACUUAAAUUCUUCGACAGAAAAGAUCUUCAGUUUUCAUAUGACACCAAAUAAGAUUGGAUGCAGCACAGAUCAUGGCAAAAUGGUGAUUAAAUUACAUAAAAAAUAUUAUAUUCUAUGAGAUUUUUAUGAAAGACUUUUUACUGUAUUUUGAAUAAUUCUUUGAUAACAUUCUGAUCAAACACGUUGAUGAUGGAAACCAUUGAUAUAGUUUUACAAUGACUUAAAGAAAUACAAUUGCUUGAAAGCAGACAGAGUUUUUAGAACAACCUCGAAGACUUCAGCUUGUAUUUGAAUGGAAAAACUAGGUGUGUGGCCCAGUGGUUAAGGUGUUGUGCUAGUGAUUGUAAGAUUGCGGUUUUGAUUCCUGGAUCAGGUGAAGCAUUGUGUUCUUUAGCAAAACACUUCAUUUAACUUUGCUCCAGUCCACUUGGCUGGCAAAAAUGUCCAUUUGGGGAAUUUUUAUGCCCUGAAACUAUGAAACUGGGCCUUCUGAAUCAGUAUAACUUAAGAAGGUUUAACUUUUCUCAUAAUCACAAGAUCAUGCUUUCAAUUCCUUGACCAGGCAAUAUGUUGUAUUCUUGAGCCGAAAAUGUUGCUUCAGGCCUCUCAGCUAAUAUAUGGAUUUCAAAUUUUGCAGAGGGCCAGCAAUUUCGGGAGAGGGGAGGAAUAAGUCAAUUACAUCGACCCCAGUGCUCUCCUGGUUCUUAUUUUAUUGGCCCCCCCAUAAUGGAUGAAAGGUAAAAUCGUCCUGAUGGGAUUUGAACUCAGAACGUAAGGAUGUAUGAAAUGCCACUAUGCAUUCUGCCCCAUGUGCCAGUGUGCCAACAAUGCUGCCAGCUCAUUGCCUUGAUAUAUUGAUUUCAAAUUUUGGUACAAGGCCAGCAAUUUUGGAGGAGGAGGUUAAGUCAGUUACAUUGGCCCCUAGUGCUCUACUGGUACUUAUUUUAUGAAUCCCGAAAUGGAUGAAAGGUAGAGUUGACCUUUGCUGAAUUUGAACUCAGAACAUGAGGACACAUGAAAUGCCACUAAAUAUUUUGCCCAGCCUGCUAACAAUUUUCCCAGCUUGCUACCUUGUUAAAACAAUUGAAUAAAAUAUUUAUGUAUAAAACACAGUGUUAAAUAGGUCUUCAAGGGGGUGCUAAAAAGUUCCUGGCUUUAGGGGUAUCAUGAAAAGCCUGGCUGGAGGCCCAGCCCUCUGAGAAUUUUUACAGGGCCUAGAAAAUCUGAAGGACUGCUGCAAUAAGUGCAUUAAUCUGAGAGGGGAAUAUGUUGAAUAAAAUCAUAAUUAACUGAUCCUCCUGUAUCUUCUUUUACUCAAACCAGGAACUUUUCAAUACUCUGCCUUGUAUGUGUGUAUAUGUAUAUAUAUGUCACCAUGAUAGAUCGGUAGCCACUACAAACAUUUUUUUCUCUCCUUAUUUCUCUCCUUGUUUCUUUCUGUGUUCCUUUCUGUGGAAGAGCAUCGGCUCGAAACAUAAAAGACUUUUUCAAUUCCUGAGCGUUACACUAAUACAUCUGUUCGUUUUCUACACCACCUGUCUUUGUCUUUUGUUUUUUUGUGAAUACUCCCCUAUAUACAUUACAUAUAUAUAUAUAUAUAUAUAUAUAUAUAUAUAUAUAUAUAUAUUCAAAGAGAAUUAGAGGUUGUGAAUCCACCAACUAAGGUAUCUCUCUAUAAGGGAUAGUAUCUAUCUAUAAGUGUAUACAUGUAUAUGUGUAUAUAUAUAUAUAUACUUUAUUUAAAAGCAGCAGAAAUUUAACAAAAACUGUCCGACGAACGGGAACGUGAAACUCUGAGUAACAGGUUUUGUUGAAUUUCUGCUGCUUUUGAAUAAAGCAUAUUACUCUACCCCUGGUAUUUGAGUACUCUUUUUCCACCUUGUUUCACAUUUAUGUGUUUACUCCGGUAUAUAUAUCUAUCUAUAUAUAUAUAUAUAUAUAUAUAUAUAUAUAUGUAUGUGUGUGUGUGUAUAUAUAUAUAUGUGAGUGUAUAUAUAUGUAUAUUUAUAUAUACAUAAAUUAGCCCUCUGAACUUCUUAGUCCCUCUUCUAAACACCUCUUGUGGUGGUGGUGGUGGUGACGAUGAUAAUGAUGACAAUCACCCAGCAAGCCUGUACUUGUUCAAGCUAUUGACCCACAUAACCAAAUUCAAUAGUGAAGAAGCUCAACUUGAAUGGCUCAAACUGGAAAGUUGAUGGUCAGUUUUGCAUCAAACUUCACUGAAUUGUUGAUAAAAUGUUUUGGUAUUCUCUUUGAGACAUAAUUAAUUCACAAUAACGCACGUAUCUAUUCUUUCUUGUCAUUGUUUGGACUCCUGCUGUUCAGUGUAGACCCUAUGAAUUAUUAUCUGCUUGGCAGACAACAAAACACAUCAGUAAAUACGAUGGUGUGGUGGGGGUGAUGGUGGGGGUGAUGGUGGGGGUGAUGGUGGGGAUGGUGGGGGUGAUUAUGAUGGUGAUGAUGAUGGUUAUGAUGGUGAUGAUUGUUAUGAUUGUGAUGGUAAUGAUGGUUAUGAUUGUGAUUGUAGUGAUGGUGGUGAUGAUUAUGAUGGCAGUGAUGAUGGUUAUGAUGGUGAUGACGUUGGUUAUGAUGGUGAUGGUGGUGAUGAUGGUUAUGAUGGUGAUGGUGGUGAUGGUGGUGAUGAUGGUUAUGAUGGUGAUGACGAUGGUUAUGAUGGUGAUGGUGAUGAUGAUGGUUAUGAUGGUGAUGGUGGUGAUGAUGGUUAUGAUUGUGAUGGUAGUGAUGGUGGUGAUGAUUAUGAUGGUGGUGAUGAUGGUUAUGAUGGUGAUGACGACGGUUAUGAUGGUGGCGGUGGUAGUGGUGGUGGUGGUGAUGAGGAUGAUAAUUUUACGCCUGAAUUCUAUUCUCAAUACCUAGCAUAGCUUGCCAAGUAAUGAUUGCCGCUUAGCUUCCGCACCCCCACCCUACCCACAAUGGUUAUGUUCUGAUUAGUGGCAUCCAAGCCAUAAUCAUUUCAUGUCAUUUUUUUUUUUUCAUCUUUUCACAACUAUGCCAUGUCAAGAACUAUAUUAUCCAACGUGUACUUCAUACCUUCAUUAAGACGAUCAACUGUGAUUUUGGGUGGGGAAAUCUCAUUGCUAUUUCUAGCAAGUCUAUGACAUUUCUUGUUGGUUCAGCCUUUUGGCUGAGAUCAAAACAUAGCAUUCAUUAUUAGCUUAUAUCUGACAUGUUUCUAACAUGGAGAAUUCGAUACUAAAUCGAUUUCUAAUCAAUGACAAAUUUGUUAGAGCAUGAUUGAGAUUGGUCCAGCGUUGACCUGAUAUUACAGAUCAUGACGUUGAUGUCAUAUCAGAUAACUUACUGGUUCUUUAUGUUGUGUUUCCUAAGAACAUUCUAGAUAGACAUAGACAUAUGCUUACCUCCUGACUCGCAUUCCAAUACCUUCAUCAUUCUUAAUAUUGGUUUGUUGUUGUUUCAUUGUUUCAUUGUUGUUGUUGUGGUUGUUGUUGCUGUUGUUUUAUAUAUAAAUAGGUACCAAGCCUGACAUCUUGGGAAGAUACAGUCAAUUAUUCCUAUUCUAAAUUAUCAUUGGUAAUUUAUUUUAUCAACCUUGGAAUUACAAAUGGCAAAGUUUAUUUUGGCGGUAUGAGAGUAACAACAGCUGAGUUAUAGAGAGAUCUGCCGACUGUCUAAGCAUCCAUCGUUGGUUUGUAACUACUUACGACUGCCACAUGGCAUUGUAUGUAUAUAUAUAUUUCGUCCAACAGCUUAUAUUUCUUGAGUAAAGAUUAUUUGCCAACAUAACAUGGCAGUCCUGGUUUAGGACGAAUGUUGCUGUAAUUUAACCACAGGAGACAUUUGCCCCAAACCAGGACUGCCAUGUUAUGUUGGCAAAUAAUCUUUACUCCAAAGUACUGUUGCUGGAAAUCUCUCGUUGUGAGAUUUACAAAUAGUAGUUUUCUAGCAUAUAUUUCUCUUGAAAGCAGAGCCACACAUGUGGCUCUGUGGUUAAAAGUUUAAAAGUUCUGUUCCAAAUGAUGCACUUUUGAGUUCAGUCCUACUGUGUGGUACCUUAAGCAAGUAUUUUCUGUUAUGGUACCCAAGGUGAUUAAGGCCUUGUGAGUGUAUUUGUUAUUUGAUAUACUGGGUGAUUGUAUCCACAUUAGGAAACAGGAAACAUGUGGGGGUUGGGAACAAGAAGGGUAUCCAACCAUAGAAAUUCUGCCCCAGUGUACUAUCAUCUGACCCAUGCAAGCUGCUGCAGCUGCUGUCGAUGAUGAUGAUGAUGAUGGUGGUGGUGGUGGUGGUGGUGGUGAUAUAAGAAUUCGCAGUGGAGGUUGCUAGCCAUGUGGAAACAUCCUAGCAUUAACUCAUUCCAUGCCAUCUACAAUUUUGCAAGUGAAGGCUUUUGAAUCAAUUACUCUCAUUCUUUCUGUGUUUAUACAUGUUUCAGGUAAUAUAUUUCAUUUAUGCUUAGAAAGCAAACCCAGGGACAUCAACAAAUAUGUAAAUAAAUCUUUAUAAAUGAUUUGGUCUCUAAGUGAAUUCAGGUGUAAAUAAAAGCUUUUAAUACAUUGGAUUAAAAAAAAAAUCAUUAGAUGGUAAAAAUAAAAGAGUGGGAAAGCCACCUGUGGGAUUUGAAACCCAAAUCUUCAGUAAUGUACACAGAUGUGCUACCAUUACAUUGAGCAAACUGCUAUCAAAUUAGAUGCUUUAAUGUUACCAGAAUGUAGGUUUAUUUACAUUUAGUAAAAGAAGCACUCCAUCGGUUACAAGUAGGGUCCCAGCUGAUACAAUCAAUGGAACAGCUUGCUCGUGAAAUUAACGUGCAAGUGGCUGAGCACUCCACAGACACGUGUACCCUUAACACAGUUCUCAGGGAGAAUCAGUGUGACACAGAGGGUGACAAGGCUGGCCCUUUGAAAUGCAAGUACUACCUAUUUUUGCCAGCUGAGUGGACUGGAGCAACGUGAAAUAAAGCGUUUUGCUCAAGGACACAAUGCGUCAUCGGGAAUUGAACUCACAACCUUUUAAUUGUGAACUAAAUGCCCUAACCACUAAACCAUGUGCUUUCACUCACAUUUAGUACUUAAAUGUAGAAGCAUUGAGAGAUAUGUAAAUAAGUUCUUUAUUAAUGUUGUAUCUCGGUGCAAAUCAGCUAUAAAUAAAAACUUGUCAUACAUUAGGUUUAAAAAAAAAUCCUUUAUUUUAUGUUUAACUUCAUUGUAAAUAACUACCACAGUAAGUAAACAGUGGCUGUGGUGGUAGUACUGAAACCAUAUGAUUGAUGAGUGCUUCAAUAAAACUGUAGCAUUAUGCCUAAAUUCUCCCAUGUGCAUAGAGAAGGCUACAGAAAGCCACAUCAGUAGAAAAAAGACGAAAAAUCAAUAUUCACCUUAUCACUUAAGUGAAGACUAAUCACUCAUUAGUUGAUAUCUAUAAUUAGAAAAACACUCAAGCAAUUCAUUUACUAUUUGGUCAUAUUUACAUGAGAUAAAUAGACUUCUAAAAAGAAUUGUUAAUAUCUUCCAAUAACUUUAUCUGUUGGGAGUAACUAUGAAGUAUAUUUUCCAUAUUCUAAUUAAGGAUAAUAAUUAUCUUAGUACACCUAUUAAUAUCAAAUGGUCAUGUUUGUAUUACUAUCCAUUAGAAAUUGUUUAUUACUAGUUUAUAAGUGGCAUUGUGGGCCUCAGUGUCUAAUAUUCUAAUACCUGUGUGUUUGUGUGAAUAAAUUAUCAUGUACAUGUGUGCAUCUAUUAACUUUGAUUUUGUUACCUGUUGCGUCUAAUGCUAUGUGUCCUGUACAAAUAUUUAUGUGUAUGUAUCUAUGUAUGUAUAUGUGUGUAUGCAUGUAUAUAUAUGUAUAUUUAUAAUAUAUAAAAUACAUAUAUACAUAUAUAUAUAUAUACACAUAUUCAUAUAUGUAUACAUGUACAUAUGUAUGUGUUAAAAAUAUAUAUAUAUAUAUAUAUAUAGUAUAUAAAUAAUGAUAUAUGUAUGUAUAUCAACAGAAACAUGCAUAUUUAUGUCUACACAGACAGACACACAUAUUUACUCACACACACAAACAUCUGCACAUUUACAAGUGCAUACACUGAGUUAUAUAGAUGAUGAGAUCAUGUAACCUUGAAGCAUUGUUAUAAAUCUAUGUAAAUUUGCAUACAAAAUCCCCAAAACAACAAUAAAACAACAGAAGUGAGAUAAUAAAUAUAGAAAAUCAUUAAAAAGCCGUUUUUCUUCAAACAUGCUUGAAAAUCUGGUUCACCAUUUAUACAGGUAUAUAUGUAUGCACCUAUGCUUGUGUGGGAUUGUGCAUAUUAACAUAUUUUCAUGUAUAUAUAUAUAUAUGUGUGUGUGUGUGUGUGUGUGUGUGUGUGUGUGUGUAUGUAUGUAUGCAAAAUUAAAAUGUAAUCAGAAGUAAUUAAUCUUUCCAAUAUUGACAAUCGCUGUCAAAAUUCUUCCAUUAGAAAUUCUCCAAGAGAAACAUUUUAUAUUUGUAAAAUUCUUGGAAGCAUAAUUUCUCUUAAAAACUAAAAUGUCAAUAAAGAUUGCAAAUAUAAAUAUUAUUUCCAUCUUAAAGCCAAUUUGAGGCAGCUAACACAACACCUUUUCAGUAUGUAUACACACUCAUAUAUAUGCAUAUAUAUAAGUGUGUAUAUAUAUAUAUAUAUAUAUAUAUAUAUGUAUGUAUGUAUGUAAUUAUGUAUGUAUGUAUGUAUGUAUGUAUGUAUGUACAUAUGCAUAUAUAUCUGUGUGUGAAAAUAUAUAUGUAUGAAUUAUAUAUUCAUAUAUAUAUAUAUAUAUUAUACAUAUAUGUCUAUAUGUGUGUGUGGAUGUGUGGGUGCAUGAUUGUGCAUAUGUGUGUAUGUAUAUGAACAUAUAUAUAUAUGAAUUUAUGUAUAUAUAUUUAUAUAAAACAUUAUAUAUAUGUACAUAUACGAAUGAUAUAAAACAUAAAUAAAACGUUAUAUAUAAAUAUAUCUAUAUAUCUAUAUCUAUAUAUCUAUAUAUCUAUAGCUAUAUAUCUAUAUCUAUAUCUAUAUCUAUAUCUAUAUCUAUAUCUAUAUAUAUAUAUAUAUAUGAAUCAUAU
rnacentral:lncRNA from 1 species